rnacentral:tRNA from 1 species
GCCCUCGUAGCUUAACUCAUCAAAGCAUGGCACUGAAGAUGCCAAGAUGGUGCUUACACCCGAGAGCA